rnacentral:rRNA from 1 species
UAGAGGAAGUAAAAGUCGUAACAAGGUCUCCGUUGGUGAACCAGCGGAGGGAUCAUUACUGAGUUUACGCUCUACAACCCUUUGUGAACAUACCUACAACUGUUGCUUCGGCGGGUAGGGUCUCCGCGACCCUCCCGGCCUCCCGCCUCCGGGCGGGUCGGCGCCCGCCGGAGGAUAACCAAACUCUGAUUUAACGACGUUUCUUCUGAGUGGUACAAGCAAAUAAUCAAAACUUUUAACAACGGAUCUCUUGGUUCUGGCAUCGAUGAAGAACGCAGCGAAAUGCGAUAAGUAAUGUGAAUUGCAGAAUUCAGUGAAUCAUCGAAUCUUUGAACGCACAUUGCGCCCGCCAGCAUUCUGGCGGGCAUGCCUGUUCGAGCGUCAUUUCAACCCUCAAGCUCUGCUUGGUGUUGGGGCCCUACAGCCGAUGUAGGCCCUCAAAGGUAGUGGCGGACCCUCCCGGAGCCUCCUUUGCGUAGUAACUUUACGUCUCGCACUGGGAUCCGGAGGGACUCUUGCCGUAAAACCCCCCAAUUUUCCAAAGGUUGACCUCGGAUCAGGUAGGAAUACCCGCUGAACUUAAGCAUAU